rnacentral:lncRNA from 1 species
GCAGGCUCCGAACGGCCGCUGUCACCGAGAACCCUGCCCCUCCGCGGUGUUUAUAGAACAUCUUGCUCAUUAAAAAGAAAAAAGGAAACGGCCCAGAUCUCUUGAGCUAUCAACUGUGGUUCAAAUACCGUCCACGUGUUCGAAAUGCUUACACGCUCUUGCAUCUAUUACACUGGUGAAUUGCGGUGACUCAGAUGGACAAUGCAUGGCCCCUGAAGUUUCAGUUAUGACAACGUGCAAGCGUUGGCGGAGGGAUCCCAAAGUUCCCAGGGCCGAAUUGCUUCUGGACUUCAGGUCACCGUAAAUGACAUCGUUUUAACCUCAACCUGGUAGGAAGAAAUUUACUAGUGGGGUAUAAAUGUCCGGAAAUAGGAAUAACAUUUAAGCGGACCUUCAAUUUUACUUAAUUUUCCAAGAUGUCCUUAAUAUCAAAAUUUACCCCCUGGCGCAAGGCUCCUGCACUCUCCCCAGAGCGUCUUGGAUGUUGAGAGCAUGUUUAUGUCCUUAGCAACUGCAGGUCUAGUAAACUGAGGACUGGAGAAAUCACCCUGGACCUGAGCAAGAGGGCAGCCAGGAAGACGCUAUGCCAACAACGCCUGCCAACAUUUCAGGAAAAAUAAUUGAAAUAAUAAAUAAUUCUGAUUAGGCCGAUAAACCUGGAGGCUGAGGGCAGGACGGAUGCUGAUCUUCCUGACUGAAUCCCGCCAGUUACCUAGAACACGCUGUGUAGAACGUUCUCUUGGAUGUUUGCUGAUCAGCUAUGAUGCCAGGCAGUGAAAGGGCAUCGGGACAACAGUGUCUGUCCCGUGCUCUGUGAAACGGACACAGCACGACUUCACAGGGACACUUUGCAGAGCAGACUUCAGGAAACAAACAGAGCUUAAAAAUAAGCAUUUCCUAAAUAUGGAAAUGAGAAAACGGUGACAUCACUAGAGAAGACCCAAAGACUUUUUUUUUUUCCACCUUAAAUGUUGCCUACCUCUUUUGGGCCAAUAAAUAAAUCUAAGCUUCAGAAGUAAUUUUGAAAAGUUUC